rnacentral:tRNA from 1 species
GGGGAUUUAGCUCAAUGGUAGAGCGCUUGCCUAGUAAGCGCAGCGCAAGGCCCUGGGUUCGGUCCCCAGCUCCA